CGUACGAUACGAGUUUGAAUCCUGGCUCAGAGUGAACGCUGGCGGCGUGCUUAACACAUGCAAGUCGACGGGUUAAAGAAGCUUGCUUCUUUGAUUAGUGGCGCACGGGUGAGUAAUGUAUAGCUAACCUGCCCCCUUAGUGAGGGACAACAGUUGGAAACGGCUGCUAAUACCUCAUACUCCUUCUUAUCAUAAGGUGAGUUGGGAAAGAUUUAUUGCUAAGGGAUGGGGCUUUAUUGUAUCAGCUAGUUGGUGGGGUAAUGGCCUACCAAGGCUAUGACGCAUACCUGGUCUGAGAGGAUGAUCAGGCACACUGGAACUGAGACACGGUCCAGACUCCUACGGGAGGCAGCAGUGGGGAAUAUUGCACAAUGGAGGAAACUCUGAUGCAGCAACGCCGCGUGGAGGAUGACGCAUUCGGUGUGUAAACUCCUUUUAUAGGGGAAGAUAAUGACGGUACCCUAUGAAUAAGCACCGGCUAACUCCGUG
rnacentral:rRNA from 1 species